rnacentral:rRNA from 1 species
AGAUUGAACGCUGGCGGCAUGCCUAACACAUGCAAGUCGAACGGGAGUAGCAAUACUCUAGUGGCGGACGGGUGAGGAAUACGUAGGAAUUUGCCCUUAAGUGGGGGAUAACCCGGGGAAACCCGGAUUAGUACCGCAUGACCUCGAAAGAGCAAAGUGGGGGAUCGCAAGACCUCACGCUUUUGGAGAAGCCUACGUCGGAUUAGCUAGUUGGUGAGGUAAUGGCUCACCAAGGCGACGAUCCGUAACUGGUCUGAGAGGAUGAUCAGUCACACCGGAACUGAGACACGGUCCGGACUCCGUACGGGAGGCAGCAGGUGGGAAUAGUUGGACAAGUGGGCGACAAGCCUGAAUCCAGCAAUGCCGUCGUGGUGUGGAAGGAACGGUCCGUUACGGUUAGUAAACGCGUAACGUUUAAGUUA